UGCAUCUGGGGCCUGUGAGGAUGAGAACCUCCGGGGGCAGGAGGUUCGACUCGAGCGAAGCGAGAGAACGUUGCGUCAGCAACGGCCCGCAGGGCGAGCCACGAAGUGGUGAGUCAU
rnacentral:sRNA from 1 species